GGGACCCGCACAAGCAGCGGAGCGUGUGGUUUAAUUCGAUGCUACCGAAGAACCUUACCAGGGUUUGACAUGCAAGUGGUAGGAAACUGAAAGGGGACCGACCCUUCGGGGAGCUUGCACAGGUGCUGCAUGGCUGUCGUCAGCUCGUGUCGUUGAGAUGUUCGGUUAAGUCCGCUAACGAGCGCAACCCUCGCUGUGUGUUACAAGUGUCACACGGAACUGCCGGUCAUAAACCGGAGGAAGGUGGGAUGACGUCAAGUCAGCAUGGCCUUUAUAUCCUGGGCUACACACACGCUACAAUGGGAAGGGACAAUAGGUUGCGAAGCCGCGAGGCGGAGCCAAUCCAGCAAAACUUCCCUCAGUUCAGAUUGCAGGCUGCAACUCGCCUGCAUGAAGUUGGAGUUGCUAGUAAACGCAGGUCAGCCAUACUGCGUUGAAUACGUUCCCGGGGCUU
rnacentral:rRNA from 1 species